CUACGGGAGGCAGCAGUGGGGAAUGUUGCGCAAUGGGCGAAAGCCUGACGCAGCAACGCCGCGUGGGGGAUGAAGGUUCUCGGAUUGUAAACCCCUUUCGAUCGGAACGAAUCCCCUCCUGGUGAACAAUCAGGAGGGUCGACGGUACCGAGAGAAGAAGCCACGGCUAACUCUGUGCCAGCAGCCGCGGUAAGACAGAGGUGGCUAGCGUUGUUCGGAUUUAUUGGGCGUAAAGCGCACGCAGGCGGUUUGGUAAGUCAGAGGUGAAAUUCCGCAGCUUAACUGCGGAACUGCCUUUGAUACUGCCUUUCUCGAGUGCAUGAGGGGGAAGCGGAAUUCCGGGUGUAGAAGUGAAAUUCGUAGAUAUCCGGAGGAACACCGGUGGCGAAGGCGGCUUCCUGGCAUGUAACUGACACUCAGGUGCGAAAGCGUGGGUAGCAAACAGGCUUAGAUACCCUGGUAGA
rnacentral:rRNA from 1 species